AUACGUAGGUGGCAAGCGUUGUCCGGAAUUAUUGGGCGUAAAGCGCGCGCAGGCGGGAUGGUAAGUCUAACUUAAAAGUGCGGGGCUCAACCCCGUGAGGGGUUAGAAACUACCAUUCUUGAGUGCAGGAGAGGAAAGUGGAAUUCCUAGUGUAGCGGUGAAAUGCGUAGAUAUUAGGAGGAACACCAGUGGCGAAGGCGACUUUCUGGACUGUGUCUGACGCUGAGGCGCGAAAGCCAGGGGAGUGAACGGGAUUAGAUACCCCGGUAAUCCUGGCCGUAAACGAUGGGUACUAGGUGUAGGAGGUAUCGACCCCUUCUGUGCCGGAGUUAACGCAAUAAGUACCCCGCCUGGGGAGUACGGCCGCAAGGUUGA
rnacentral:rRNA from 1 species